rnacentral:rRNA from 1 species
ACGGGAAUCUUAACGAUGACUGUAUUGGAUGAGUACACUUUAAAUCCUUUAACAAGGACCUAUUGGAGGGCAAGUUCUGGUGCCAGCAGCCGCGGUAACUCCAGCUCCAAUAGCGUAUAUUAAUGUUGUUGCGGUUAAAACGUUCGUAGUUGAACUUGUGCUUCAUACGGGUAGUACAACUAUAAUUUUAGAUUGUGCUAUACCUUAUGUAUGUAAGCGUAUUACCGGUGGGGUUCUUAUAUGCAAAUGUAAUACUUGUAUUCUUUUGUAUAUUCCUCCUAUUUAAACCUGCCUCAAUGCUCUUCAUCGGGUGUUGUUGCGGGCCGGUACAAUUACUUUGAACAAAUUAGAGUGCUUAAAGCAGGCUCCAAAUGCCUGAAUAUUUUGUGCAUGGAAUAAUGGAAUAAGACCUCUGUUCUACUUUCAUUGGUUUUUAGAUCAAGAGGUAAUGAUUAAUAGAAGCAGUUUGGGGGCAUUAGUAUUACGACGCGAGAGGUGAAAUUCUUGGACCGUCGUAAGACUAACUUAAGCGAAAGCAUUUGCCAAAGAUGUUUUCAUUAAUCAAGAACGAAAGUUAGGGGAUCGAAGA